rnacentral:rRNA from 1 species
ACUGGGAAGCUAGAGUAUGGGAGAGGAUGGUAGAAUUCCAGGUGUAGCGGUGAAAUGCGUAGAGAUCUGGAGGAAUACCGAUGGCGAAGGCAGCCAUCUGGCCUAAUACUGACGCUGAGGUACGAAAGCAUGGGGAGCAAACAGGAUUAGAUACCCUGGUAGUCCAUGCCGUAAACGAUGUCUACUAGCCGUUGGGGCCUUUGAGGCUUUAGUGGCGCAGCUAACGCGAUAAGUAGACCGCCUGGGGAGUACGGUCGCAAGACUAAAACUCAAAUGAAUUGACGGGGGCCCGCACAAGCGGUGGAGCAUGUGGUUUAAUUCGAUGCAACGCGAAGAACCUUACCUGGCCUUGACAUACUAGAAACUUUCCAGAGAUGGAUUGGUGCCUUCGGGAAUCUAGAUACAGGUGCUGCAUGGCUGUCGUCAGCUCGUGUCGUGAGAUGUUGGGUUAAGUCCCGCAACGAGCGCAACCCUUUUCCUUACUUGCCAGCAUUUCGGAUGGGAACUUUAAGGAUACUGCCAGUGACAAACUGGAGGAAGGCGGGGACGACGUCAAGUCAUCAUGGCCCUUACGGCCAGGGCUACACACGUGCUACAAUGG